AUCGUUAGAUUCAUAGUUUUAGUUUUAACUAAUGGAUUAAAAAAAAAAACUCAAUAAACUUAAUGGAAAUAACAGUGUUUAUUUUGAUCCAUAAGAUACUAUGAAUAUCGAUUCUAAAGUCUAUGAGAGUAAAAAUCGACAAGAUUCAUACCUGAUUUAACAAUACACAUCCCUAAUAAAUUGUUAAAGUAAUCUUUAUUAAAAGUGAAUCGCAUUGGCUUCUGUUUACCUAAGAGUUUAAGCGUUUGUAAAUAUCCUAAUCGGAUUCUCUAACGAAUAACUAUGUAACAAGUGUUUGCGAGAAACGUUUCUAUAAAAUGAGCUUUAACUAUGAUUAAGUACUCAAGACUUCGGUAUUUCUAACGAUGCUUGUUUAUUGUUGACGUUUAUUAAAACAAAAAUCUUGCUUCAGUAGGGAACAUAAUAUAAGAGGUCUACAGCCAUGCCACAAUGUGUACAAUGACCCGAAAUGUAGACCCUAAAAGACUGAUUUGCAAACCGCAAAGAGAAUAAUGUGCAGAUUGACUUGAUGUUAUCCCUAUUGCAGCGUGUAUUGGCUCUGAGGAUUGGACUGAAACUCAUACUGCCUGCGGUUAUGUCUCCACUAACUGAAAAAGAAAAGGGGAUGAUGUUAAUCUUCUUUUGUGAAAGUGUAUUAUGCAGGAGGCCUCAGUGCGAGAGUGUGAGAGGGCUGGACGGAGGCAAAUGGUUUGGGGAAUCUCUUUGGGACGCUGUGGAACAUCUAUCAUGGCUAGUAUAAACUAUAACACCGUUAAGUAUAAAGGCUAUUGGGGCCAUUGGUGAUUAUGGUGGGGGUCCUGAUCUCCCAUUAAUGGUCCUAGGAAGAUGAUGCAUUAGCAUGGUCCUGUGUCGCUAUGAUGCUGCAACAAACCUCACAUAAUGCUGUAGCUGCAUAAUCCCCCAGCAGAAUUCUCUGCAGUGAAUACUUAACUGCAAUAUGCAGCUCAAGCUCCUGCUCGCCCAGAUUGCAGACAUGAGGGGCUCACCUUGCAGCGGAACUUGCUUCAUAAAGCUUAGAGUUAAAGUGAAACAGCCAGUGAAAAAGAUCGCAGUACGCGCGACUCGACCCCAAAACAACCUCAGUAACAUUCCCCCUGAAGAUAGAACCCCUAAUGGGUGUGAAACUAGUUGUUGUCGCCACCAGGACAAGUUUAAACAAUUAAUUUGGAUUAAGAUAAAAAAAUUAUGUAAGAAUAAAUAAAUAAUUGAUUUACUAGU